AUUGAACGCUGGCGGCAGGCCUAACACAUGCAAGUCGAGCGGAUGAAGGGAGCUUGCUCCUGGAUUCAGCGGCGGACGGGUGAGUAAUGCCUAGGAAUCUGCCUGGUAGUGGGGGAUAACGUCCGGAAACGGGCGCUAAUACCGCAUACGUCCUGAGGGAGAAAGUGGGGGAUCUUCGGACCUCACGCUAUCAGAUGAGCCUAGGUCGGAUUAGCUAGUUGGCGGGGUAAGGGCCUACCAAGGCGACGAUCCGUAACUGGUCUGAGAGGAUGAUCAGUCACACUGGAACUGAGACACGGUCCAGACUCCUACGGGAGGCAGCAGUGGGGAAUAUUGGACAAUGGGCGAAAGCCUGAUCCAGCCAUGCCGCGUGUGUGAAGAAGGUCUUCGGAUUGUAAAGCACUUUAAGUUGGGAGGAAGGGCAGUAAGUUAAUACCUUGCUGUUUUGACGUUACCAACAGAAUAAGCACCGGCUAACUUCGUG
rnacentral:rRNA from 1 species